rnacentral:misc_RNA from 1 species
CUUUUUAGUUGAUUUGAUCUUUUGUAGGACAGGAGUAUGGGGAAGAUGAUUGGAAUAGGACAUGUCACAAAGAUUUUAUCAACUAUCUAAUCUGAAACCACCUAUUGCCUUUGCUUCUGCUACCUUUCUUAAUCUUCUGCACAGUCAUUUGGGACAUCCAAGUUUCCCUAAACUACAAAAGACGGUCUCGAGCCUUUCCAAAUUAUCUUUUUUAGAAUGUGAGUUAUGUUAGCUUGGAAAACAAACCCAUAAUUCUUUCCGAAAG